GGGUAUUUAGCUCAGCGGCAUAAGCACCUGCCUUCCAAGCAGGCAGUCAUGAGUUUGAUUCCCAGUACCAA
rfam:Cavia porcellus supercont2_1 genomic scaffold, whole genome shotgun sequence.